GCCGGGGCGGAGUGGGCAGGGUCCAGCCCCGGGGGCUGCACCCGGUCCCCUGCUCCCGCUGACCCCUCCCGCCCGUCCGGAGCUGCCCCAGGUGGCCCAGGUAAGCUGGCCAUCCCUGGGGUGGGGUGGCGGAAGGAUUAGAGUUCUUGUGAGGACACCCAAACGUAAGGCACAGGAGAGGCGUCCCGAGAGCCCAGAAGCAAAGCCGGGUCAGAAGGAGAGCUAGAGAACAAGGCCCUGCCCCCGCUUCCGCUGACCAGCUCAGCUACCGCUCUCCAUUCCUCGACCGAACCUGGGAAGUAGCCCUUGCUCCGAGGGCUUGCCAGAGUCCCUGGUGCUGAGCACCCAGCCGGAAGGGCACUGCGCAGGGAAGGCAGCGAUGCCCAGGCAGGUCCCCAGAGUCAGGUGGAGGGCAGCUCCACACAGUCCAGGCAGAAGCUUCCUGAAGGCCAGGUGUGGCUCGGCUGCAGUCCCUGCCCAGAGGGUCCCUGGAAAGGAUCAAUGGGACACUCAGUAGAACCCGCAGCCCUGUGAGGACCCCUCAUUCAGGGCCAGACCCAGCCUUGGACUAGGUCAGGGCUGGUGCCUGUGUCCCCUUCAGGCCCUGAGUGUGUGGCCCCCCAAGGUUCAUCUUAGCUUGUUCCAGACCAGGUUGGAGGCCAGGGGGACAGCUCAGGCAGCCAGAGGGGAACAGCGGGAGGGACAGUAGGUGAGGCUGGGAGCCCCAGGACAGUGGCUUAGUUCCCAGGAUGGUGACUCGUGGCCUAAAGGGACGAUUGCCCUGAGUCUUAGAGCCUUCAUGGGGCCCCAGUAGGAAAAAGAAGCAUGGCCGUGAGGGCUGGACACCAAGGGGGACGUGCUGGUGACCAGAGCCCCUGCAGGUCCUGGGCUUAGAGCCAGGGGAAGCAGCACCUGGCCAGGCCAGCAGACCUUGGGCAGGGUUCCUGAAGCCCCCUUCCUUCUGGGCAGGAAGGCAGAGUAGGCUGCCCCUGGGUGAGGCGGGCAGCCUAUGAGGAGCAGCCUUGUCCGCCUCAUCCCAGAGGCCAGAGGGAGGCCCUGUGCAGGGCUGUGUCAGCCCUGAAGUGGGCCAGGCAGACCAGGGGUCCCCUCCCUCCUCACUGCAGAGGGGUGGCCUGAGCCAUGUUCCCACUGUCCUAGGCUGGGUGGGGGCAGAGGUGAUGGUUGGAGGUGGCAGAGGACCCUAGGGCCGUGCCUCUCCCCAGGCCUUGGCAGAGGGCUUGGCAGUGGUGGGGUUGCUGGGGUGGAGGCUGCUGGGGGGUGGUUACCGGGCCACUGAAGCCAGGCAGCAGAGGCAAGGCCUCCCGGUCAGGUUGCAGAGCCCCUGGAGGCCUGGAUCCUCAGGCAGGUCCCCUGCAGAGCCGGGAAUCCUGCAGCUAGUGGGGGUAGGGCUGUCUGUGACAAGGCUCCAGCCUCUGGGAGCCAAUCUGCAGAACCCUAGGCCUGAGGCGGAGGAAGCCCAGCCAGGAAUUGCAGGAGACACUUGUGCAGGACUGGAUGCAGUGGGGCGGGUGCCUGAGAGGGGGCUCCUGCUCUGAGGCACAGCCUUCUAAAACGACUGUGGCCUGCACACUAUUAAAGCAAAGAACUUAGCCCAGCCAGUGUUCAGUGUGCAUUCUCAAAGCAACGGAGUCCAGCUCAAGUGCCUCCCCAGUCAAAUCUGCUGACGUUUUAUUGAGGAAGGGAAGGGACGCAGGACCAGGAAGUGGCACCAGUGUGGCAGGGGAGGCCAGGCAGCGGGCUCCUCAGCUACCCGAGGCUGGCCCCUCCCAAGGCUCUGGUUCUGGGAGAUCCUAGGGGGUGAGUCCUAUAACAGGCUCCCUCCAAGGACUGGAGUUCAGACCCUGGGCACCAAGAGCCAUCGAAGUGCAUGUUCCCAGCCCCACCCUGGGCAUUCCAAGGCCCAAGGCAGGCCUGAGGAUCAGCAUUUUUACAAAUACACAGCAGUGCUGCUACCUGUUCCCAGCUGACACUUGACAUCGGGUCAGGCAUUCAGGGAAUAGGGGCAGGAUGGGGAGGAAAGGAGCAGAGGUCUCCCUAGGGAAGGCAGUGUGGCACCCAUCAUUGCUGGGUGAGUCCCAAGAAGGGGACUCAGGAGGUAGGGUGCGGGGCAGGGAGCAGCCCAGAAUCAGGGACCUGCAGAGGGUCCCUGAUUACCCAUAGGGUUUGGGGAGGGCUGCCUGGGGCCAGGCUGACACCAGGGCCUCAGGAAGGUGGCAGAGAGGCUGGGCUCUUUGCGGGGGGGUGGCACCUGGCAAGCCCUGCUGGGACCCAGGCAGGCAGAGGAGCCCGUGGGCUAGUUGGUGCAGGAAAGGCAGAGCCCUGAUGCGUGACUUUGUGGUGCCGCCUCCGGCUGUCUCUGCCCAGCACACUCCACCAUGGCUUCUGCCCCACCGUGCUGGGGUCCCUGGGAGACUCUAGAGGCAUCCCCAGCUGGCCCAGCCCUCUCUGGUCCACCAGAGACACCUGGAGUGGCAGGAUUGGGCUUCAGGCCACUCUGCUAGGCCAUGACUAAUACACCUGUGGUUGGGACUUCUUCUUAACCCAGAGGUGCACCCCACGACCUCCCACAUGCCUCCCCUGCUGUCCAGGAUACAUUGCUCAGCACCUCUGGACAGUCUGUUGGGUUCUGCAUAAGGUAGCUUCAGCCUGGGGCAUGGUGGGGGCAGCAUGGGGAUCAGGACCCUGCAGGGGACCCCCUUCUAUAUGGAAAGGUGGGGACUUCCUUGGGUGGGUCCCAGGAGCCUGCAGCUGUUCCCCUUCACACCAAGGCCCUGCCAGUGGCUGCAGUGGGGCUCCUCCUGUGAGUGCAAAGUACACAGGGAAAGAGACCUAGGUCACCAUGACAUUUUACAACCCUGAAGACAGAGAAGACCCUAGAAGCUUCUGGCAGGACAGGGGCAGGUGGAAUACAAAAAGGGGAUCAGAGAAGAGACCUCACGUGAGGGAGAGGUAAGGCACAGCCCCUGACAGCCAGCUUUGUGCAGGGCAGCGUUGGCCGUGGAUCACAGCACAGGGCACUCUACGGCUGCCAGGCCUGCAGGCUGCCUGCCUCGGCUCACUCUGCAGGAGCGAGAGGGCAGCGUGCCCAGAAAUGGGAUUGGAACCGAGAAGGAAGAAGACACUGGUCCUGGAGCUGCUCAGGGAACGGCCACAGGAAGUGACUACGACAUCCCAGGUGGUGGGCGCUCAAGGGAGAAGGCCCAGAAGUCACACACUGACGCUGUGGCAGUCAGGCCACAUGCAGGCCAGGACACAGGCCAGGUUGUGUGGAGAGACAGAGAUGACCUGACUGCAGGACAGGGUCAACUGCAGGGUCCAGCGUCUAUGUGGCCAGAGCGAGCUGCCUGACCUGGGGCUGUACCACAGCCAGCGAUGGGACCCAGGCUGCCACCAGGUGGGGGCGCAGUGGAGUCCCCUGCUCUGCAGGGGGAGCCCGGAGCAGAUGUCUGAAGAGGAGCGGUGGAGAGAACACCCAUCCGCAGACUGUAGGAAGCGUAGGUCCCCCUCAGACCCACCAGCCUCUUGGGAAGCAGCCCUCAGACCGCAGAACAAAGCAGUCCUCCGGAGGCUCCAGAGGUGCGCUCCUCGGAGUUGAACCAUGAGCUGAAACUCAGGUCUCCAUGAAAGCCAGCAGUGUCCCAGCAGCUGCGGCUGUGAUGGCCAAAGUGCCUUGAGCAGGUGACAAGGGACAGGCCAGGUUGAAUAUUGACAGAAUACCACUCGGCACCAAGAGAAGUGAAUUACAAGGCCCUGAAAAGACAGGGGAGCAUCUUAAGGGCCCAGUGCCCAGUAGAGAAGCCCGUCUGAGAAGGCUGCCCGGCCUCGGUUCCACCUGGACCUCUGCAGAGGCAGGGCCACGAAGAUAGGAAGAGAAGGGCUGGCUGGGGGUCUGAGGAGUGGACGGGCAGUGGAGGCCGGACGGGCAGUGGAGGCCACACGGACAGGCGGGGACGUACUGCACGGGGGUACAUCCGCUUCCCCAUCUCCUGCCACACGGAGAGAGCCCACGUGGACUGACUCUGAUCACAGUGCGUCACCACAGGGUCAUCGGUCACACCAGACAGACACCCGCACGCAAGCUAUAGUAAUAGAGUAAGCACGGGAGCGUCCACUCACCUUUCUAUAAAUCCAAAAUGCUCAAAAAAUAAAACCUAUGAGUCAUGUGCGAGGAAGGAGCAGGAACAGGCCCAGGACCAGGUGCAGUGGUGCACACUGGAACCCCGGCUGGGGGGAGGGCAAAGUUCAAGGCCACCCUGGGCAAUCAAACUAAGAAAUAAAAAUGGCCAGGGGUGCAGCUCAGUGGUAGAGCACCCUGGGUCCAUCCCCAGACUUGGGAGCCUGGGUGGCCCCAUCCCUGUUGGAAGGGACACGGGGGAAAGGAAAUCUGAGGAGCUGGGAUCCACCAGUCCCUGAGCCACAGGAGGGGACAGAGGCAUCAGUAAGAGCCAGGGUGGGUGGGCUCUCCCUCCCUGUCCCACCCUCUCCCCCUCUCCCUUCUCCCCUGAUGAGCUGAUCAAUCGCUCAUCACUGCUUGAAGGAGGGUCCGACUCAAGUGUGGCCUCUUAAUCAGCACGCGGCCGUCCCAGGUUCAUCCACUGCCCUGCCCACCCACAAAUGAGCCCAUUGACCCAUCCUCGCCUCCCCCAGGGAGGCCUGCCUGGGCUCCGAGCGCCGUCUGGUGGCCGCAGGGUGAGCACAACACAGCCCGGAGGACCUGAGAGGACACGGAGGGCCAGAGGACUGAGGAAGGCCGCUCUCCGCCCCCUCAGGCGGCUCCUCCUCCCCAGUCCUCUCCCCCCACACCCUCCUUUGGAAGACACCAGAGUGCACCCCUUCUCCAGCCCCAGCAAAACACAUGCUGCCUGCCCUGCCCUGCCUCAGGGCCUUGGAGCGUGCAGGUCCCUGGGCCAAAACACUCUCUGCCACACCUGUCAGCCCCCCUCGGCUUUGUGGCCAGAUCCACCCCACCCAGCCGCAUCACCCCAGAUGGAUGGUGAGUGAACAAGGGUCGGAUGGGCUGGGAAACCCUGUGAACCAGCGUGGGGUCACCUGGCCAAACCCCGCUGUCCCCUCCUGGGCCUGGCAGGCCUGAGUGCUCAUCUGGGGCAUCCCCCAGGGUGUCUGGGUCCUGGGGUCCGGGUUCCUGGAGCAGGGCUGUGGGGUGUGCUGAAGGCAGUAAGACUUCCUCUGACAGGGAGCGCAGGCUGGGCCUGGGGAGUCCCUGGCUCUGUGGAAGCUCGACCUUCAGUCCCCAGGGUGGCUGCUCUCCCGUCCUUGUCCCCUUCCCGGGGCCCAGCCUGCUCUGGCAGUGCAGGUGUCCCAGACCUGUGUCCAUGCCAUCACAGCUCCUCCCUGCCCAGCUGCCACAGUCAGGUGGCAAGGGAGAGGGAAGCUGGCUCCCUGUGCUCCUUGUCCUAGGUGCCCCAGUGACCUGCAGUUCCAUGGGAACACUAGCCUUCUGUAGCCAGGCUGAUUUGGGGGACUUGGGGUGACUGCCUCCCCCAGCAGACUGGCAGCUGGACUGGCCUCAGCAAGUACCAGUGAGGGUGUGGACAGUGUCCCUGGCCCCAUCUUCUGGGUCCUCUGGCCUCCCCUGCCUGGGUCAGACCCUGGCCUGUGGCAGUCGUCAGGAGCCGUGAGUGUGGGUGUGGCUUCCUGGGGUGUCCCAGCUGUGGUGGGUGCAGCGCUGACCCUGCUUCCUGCUCCCCUUCCUGCCUCCCCCGCCCACAGCAGAGACUGGCAGGCCCAAGGUCAGCGGUCUGUGUAUCGACAGUGUCUGGCCACCCUGGGCUGGCGGGAGGGAGGAGACUGCGGCUCGAUAAGGCCCAUCUUGUGAGAAAAUAAAUUUGGCCAUUGACCCAGCAAGCAGACGUCAAUAAAUGAAUGGUUAAUACAAACAUUGUCCUUC
rnacentral:lncRNA from 1 species